rnacentral:lncRNA from 1 species
CAUCACCACCCUCUCUAUUGUGCCCAUGGAGCACCUUGAGAACUUCUAUCUGCUCACUUUGGUUUUCUGGUCAAAAGUUCUUGACCCAAAAAUUUGUCAUGGUCACUCUUCCAUUAAACUGAGUGAAAUGAUGAACACAUGGUCAUCAGAUCCCAUAGGACAAGGGACUAAUUGUGAAGAAAGUGUCCCAUUUUUGAGGCUAGGAUUAUAGAUCCUGGUGAUCAAUGGUUAAUAGGAAUCUAUCUAUGCAUUUUAAGAAAGUGACUGGAAAGUGUGUCAAUUCUGGAAGAGCUUCAGGAAUGGUCCUCCCAAUAACAUUGUCACUGGUGACAGCUGGUAGGUCAGUUCAGCAGGUGUCAGCAUGGAGCUUCAGGUGAUUCAGGAGGUGGCCAGCACAGGUCCAGGCAGCAUAAUGGGGCAUAGGGAAUGUGACCUGCACAGGGCGACAGGGAGAUGUGACCUCUAGCCACAGCCUCCUGGUCAGCCUGAGGCUGAGAAUCAUGGGGUCCAGUCCCUUCCUUCCUCACUGUGAUGUCAUAGUGUCACCUGGAUAUAACAGAAGCCAUCCUGGCUGCUUAAGCUAAGGUCUGAUCAUGGCCCUGGACUAGGAUCAGGAGGCAGGAGGAGCAGGUUCACUCUACUUGCAGCCCUAACCCCCUCACCCUGUGCCUGUGUAUGCCGAGGUCAGGAGACACAACCAUGUGUGUGGCAGGUGUGUCUGUGAAGCUCCAAGCUGCUCUGCCCACCUGCUCUCCUCCC